UAUUUCAGGAGUUGUGGGAGCUCCGCAUUUACCGCUUAACCAGACCUAUUCGAGGCGAAAGAAAAAACCGAUAGGGAUCACUUGAUGAUUCGCAAACACGGGUCCACGUCACCUCCUCCUCCCUCCUGGAAAAAAACGUAACAUCUAUUGUCAUUUGCACUUACUAAUAACUGAAUCAACAAACAAGGUUAAUCCAAGUGCUUCUAAGUGGAACCUCCAGUGUUUAGUCAUUGAAUCAGGAGCAGAUACUGGACUUCCGCAAAUGAAAUAGGAAGUUGUGGGCAUGUUACGUUGGCGCCGGAAGCGUGGCGACACUUGUGGGCUGCCCCCAGAACACUACACAAAAAGAUGUAUUUCACUGUGUG